rnacentral:rRNA from 1 species
GAUGAACGCUGGCGGCGUGCCUAAUACAUGCAAGUCGAGCGAACGGACGAGAAGCUUGCUUCUCUGAUGUUAGCGGCGGACGGGUGAGUAACACGUGGAUAACCUACCUAUAAGACUGGGAUAACUUCGGGAAACCGUAGCUAAUACCGGAUAAUAUUUUGAACCGCAUGGUUCAAAAGUGAAAGACGGCCUUGCUGUCACUUAUAGAUGGAUCCGCGCUGCAUUAGCUAGUUGGUAAGGUAACGGCUUACCAAGGCAACGAUGCAUAGCCGACCUGAGAGGGUGAUCGGCCACACUGGAACUGAGACACGGUCCAGACUCCUACGGGAGGCAGCAGUAGGGAAUCUUCCGCAAUGGGCGAAAGCCUGACGGAGCAACGCCGCGUGAGUGAUGGAGGUCUUCGGAUCGUAAAACUCUGUUAUUAGGGAAGAACAUAUGUGUAAGUAACUGUGCACAUCUUGACGGUACCUAAUCAGAAAGCCACGGCUAACUACGUG